rnacentral:rRNA from 1 species
GAACUGUCCUAACGUUGUUCGGAAUCACUGGGCUUAAAGGGCGCGUAGGCGGUCCGACAAGUCAGGGGUGAAAUCCUGCAGCUUAACUGCAGAAGUGCCUUUGAUACUGUCGGUCUCGAGGGAGAUAGGGGUGUGCGGAACUUCCAGUGGAGCGGUGAAAUGCGUUGAUAUUGGAAGGAACGCCGGAGGCGAAAGCGGCGCACUGGAUCUCUUCUGACGCUGAGGCGCGAAAGCUAGGGGAGCAAACGGGAUUAGAUACCCCGGUAGUCCUAGCCCUAAACGAUGAGUACUAGAUUGUAGACUAAUCAUGGGUUUACAGUCGAAGCAAAAGUGUUAAGUACUCCGCCUGGGGAGUAUGGUCGCAAGGCUGAA